rnacentral:tRNA from 1 species
GUGGGUGUAGCUCAGUGGUAGAGCACUUGCCUGCCAUAUGCAAGGUCCUGGGUUAGAUUUCCUCACCCCACA